rfam:Oryza rufipogon genomic scaffold, chr07
AAAAAGGCAAACCCUGAGUUUUCGUGUCCAACUUUUUGACUAUCCGUCUUAUAUGAAAUUUUUUUAUAAUUCGUAUUUUUAUUAUUGUUAGAUGAUAAAAUAUGAUUAAUAUUUUAUGCGUGACUUGUCUUUUUAAUUUUUUUUAUAAUUUUUUUAAAUAAGACGGACGGUCAAAUAUUGGACACGAAAAUCAGGGUUUGUCUUUUU